UGGGGCUAUAGUUCAGUGGUAGAACGUUUCGUUUACACCGAAAAAGUCUACGGUUCGAUCCCGUAUGGCCCCAA
rnacentral:tRNA from 1 species